rnacentral:rRNA from 1 species
UCCAGUUGAUCCUACUGGAGAUCACUGCUUUUGGAGUUCGACAUAUCCAUGCAAGUCUAGCUGACCGGGUGCGGUUGGCGGCAGACGGCUUAGUAACACGUAGACAACCUACCCUAUAGACUGGGAUAAGAGCUGGAAACUGCUUUCAAUAACGGAUAGAUUUUGGAAACUGGAAUGUUCCAAAAUCCAAAGGGCCUGACCUUUCUGUCAGGUUCCGCUAUAGGAUGGGUCUGCGGCUGAUCAGGCUGAUGGUGAGGUAACGGCUCACCAUACCAUAGACCAGUGGGGGUCUUGAGAGAGAGGGCCCCAAGAGGGACACUGAGACAAGGGUCCCAGCCCUACGGGGUGCAGCAGGAUUGAAUUCUUUACAAUGCACGAAAGUGUGAUAAGGGGACUCCAAGUGCUCAUGCAACGCAUGGGCUUUUGCCAAGUGUAAAUAGCUUGGCGAAUAAGGGGUGGGCAAGACCGGUGGCAGCAGCCGCGGUAAUACCGGCGCCCCGAGUGGUGAUCAUUUUUAUUGGGCCUAAAGCGUUCGUAGCUGGUUUGGAGGGUCCUUGGUGAAAUCCAUGCGCUUAACGUAUGGGCGUGCCAGGGAAACCGUCAGGCUUGGGACCGGGAGAGGUAAGGAGUAUUGUUGGGGUAAGGGUAAAAUCUUAUAAUCCUGACAGGACUACCUGUGGCGAAGGCGCCUUACCAGAACGGGUCCGACAGUGAGGGACGAAAGCUGAGGGAGCGAACGGGAUUAGAUACCCCGGUAGUCUCAGCCGUAAACGCUGCCUGUUAGGUGUUGCACAUUGUUCGACGGUGUGCAGUGCCGAAGCGAAGGCAUUAAACAGGCCGCCUGGGGAGUACGGUCGCAAGGCUGAAACUUAAAGGAAUAGGCGGGGGAGCACAACAAGGGGUGAAGCUUGCGGUUCAAUUGGAUUCGACGCCGUGAAUCUCACCAGGACCGACAGCACAAUGAAGGUCAGUCUAAAGGGCUUACCUAAGGCGCUGAGAGGUGGUGCAUGGCCGCCGUCAGCUCGUGUCGUGAGAUGUCCUGUUAAGUCAGGCAACGAGCGAGACCCUUUCCAUUAGUUGCUAUUUCUUGUCUUCGGAUGAGAAAGCACACUAAUGGGACUGCCUGUGUAAGCAGGAGGAAGGUUAGGGCGACGUCAGGUCAGUAUGCCCCGAAUGCCCUGGGCUACACGCGAGCUGCAAUGGCUUGGGCAAAGAGCUGCGACACCGAAAGGUGAAGCCAAUCUCAUAAACCAAGUCCCAGUCCGGAUCGAGGAUUGUAACUCAUCCUCGUGAAGUCGGAAUCCCUAGUAAUCGUAGUUUAUCAGGCUACGAUGAAUACGUCCCUGCUCCUUGCACUCACCGCCCGUCAUACCAUUCGAGUUGGAUAGAAGUGAAAUGCUAUCUUUAUGUUAGCCUUAAACUUUUGUUCAGCGAGAGGGGUAAAGUCGUCACAAGGUA